GCCUCUUUAGCUCAGUUGGUAGAGCGACGCAUUCGUAAUGCGUAGGUCGUGGGUUCGAGUCCCAUUAGAGGCU
rnacentral:tRNA from 1 species